rnacentral:rRNA from 1 species
AGUAAUGCGUGACCAACCUGCCCCACUGCUCCAGAAUAGCUCUUGGAAACGGGUGGUAAUGCUGGAUGCUCCAACUUGACGCAUGUCUUGUUGGGAAAGUGUUAGUGGCAUGGGAUGGGGUCGCGUCCUAUCAGCUUGUAGGCGGGGUAAUGGCCCACCUAGGCUUCGACGGGUAGCCGGCCUGAGAGGGCGGACGGCCACAUUGGGACUGAGAUACGGCCCAGACUCCUACGGGAGGCAGCAGCA